rnacentral:lncRNA from 1 species
AGGGUCUGCUCCUUUCAAGCAAAGGAACUUCAUUGGCGGUGACACCGAGCUGUGCUGUCCUCGACCCACAGCCUGAGAUGGAUCUCAGGACAACCCUAAACUUCCAAGCUGCAGAAACCAGCGCUCAGCGUUCCCUCAGCAGUGCUUCUGGAACCCUCCCCCGAAAUCUGCCGCAGAAAGUCCACCCAUAGCUAAGACACUAAGACUAAAACAAGACCAGUGGCCACUCCACAGAAGCACAGAUGCCUGUUUGGAAGGCUUCAGUCAUGGAAUGGAUCAUAUUGACCUCUCACACCAGAUCCCACAUUGGAGAGAAUGAGUCUUCAGAGG